CGAACGGGAUAGCAAUAUCCAGUGGCGAACGGGUGCGUAACACGUGAAGAAUUUGUCCAACGGUGGGGGAUAGCCGGCCCAACGGCCGGGUAAUACCGCGUACGACCUUCGGGGGACAUCCCCUGAUGGUGAAAGUCGCAAGACGCCGAUGGAGAACUUCGCGGCCUAUCAACUAGUUGGUAGGGUAAUGGCCUACCAAGGCGACGACGGGUAGCUGGUCCGAGAGGAUGACCAGCCACAUUGGGACUGAGACACGGCCCAGACUCCUACGGGAGGCAGCAGUGGGGAAUAUUGCGCAAUGGGCGAAAGCCUGACGCAGCGACGCCGCGUGUGGGAUGACGGCCUUCGGGUUGUAAACCACUGUCGGGAGGGACGAAGCUCUGACGGUACCUCCAAAGGAAGCACCGGCUAACUCUGUGCCAGCAGCCGCGGUAAUACAGAGGGUGCGAGCGUUGUCCGGAAUCACUGGGCGUAAAGGGCGCGUAGGCGGCUCGCUAAGUAGGGGGUGAAAUCUCGCGGCUCAACCGCGGGGCUGCCUUCUAAACUGGCGGGCUCGAGCACGGUAGAGGCUGGUGGAAUUCCCGG
rnacentral:rRNA from 1 species